rnacentral:tRNA from 1 species
GAGAACCUAGUAAAACCCAAUUACAUGGCUUUGUCAUAGCCAAGUUACAUCCACAUGUGGCUCUCA